UCCUACGGGGGAGCAGCAGUAGGGAAUCUUCCGCAAUGGACGAAAGUCUGACGGAGCAACGCCGCGUGAGCGAAGAAGGCCUUCGGGUCGUAAAGCUCUGUUGUAAGGGAAGAACAAGCAUCGGUUAACUGCCGGUGCCCUGACGGUACCUUACCAGAAAGCCACGGCUAACUACGUGCCAGCAGCCGCGGUAAUACGUAGGUGGCAAGCGUUGUCCGGAAUUAUUGGGCGUAAAGCGCGCGCAGGCGGUCCUUUAAGUCUGAUGUGAAAGCCCACGGCUCAACCGUGGAGGGUCAUUGGAAACUGGGGGACUUGAGUGCAGAAGAGGAAAGCGGAAUUCCACGUGUAGCGGUGAAAUGCGUAGAGAUGUGGAGGAACACCAGUGGCGAAGGCGGCUUUCUGGUCUGUAACUGACGCUGAGGCGCGAAAGCGUGGGGAGCAAACAGGAUUAGAUACCCUGGUAGUCCACGCCGUAAACGAUGAGUGCUAAGUGUUAGGGGGUUUCCGCCCCUUAGUGCUGCAGCUAACGCAUUAAGCACUCCGCCUGGGGAGUACGGCCGCAAGGCUGAAACUCAG
rnacentral:rRNA from 1 species